rnacentral:rRNA from 1 species
UAUGAACGCUGGCGGCAGGCCUAACACAUGCAAGUCGAGCGGCAGCACGGGUACUUGUACCUGGUGGCGAGCGGCGGACGGGUGAGUAAUGCCUAGGAAUCUGCCUAGUAGUGGGGGAUAACGUCCGGAAACGGGCGCUAAUACCGCAUACGUCCUACGGGAGAAAGUGGGGGAUCUUCGGACCUCACGCUAUUAGAUGAGCCUAGGUCGGAUUAGCUAGUUGGUGAGGUAAUGGCUCACCAAGGCGACGAUCCGUAACUGGUCUGAGAGGAUGAUCAGUCACACUGGAACUGAGACACGGUCCAGACUCCUACGGGAGGCAGCAGUGGGGAAUAUUGGACAAUGGGCGAAAGCCUGAUCCAGCCAUGCCGCGUGUGUGAAGAAGGUCUUCGGAUUGUAAAGCACUUUAAGUUGGGAGGAAGGGCAGUUACCUAAUACGUGAUUGUUUUGACGUUACCGACAGAAUAAGCACCGGCUAACUCUGUGCCAGCA